AACGUACGCUGGCGGCACGCCUAACACAUGCAAGUCGAGCGAGGUAGCAAUACCUAGCGGCAGACGGGUGAGUAACAUGUGGGAAUCUGCCUUUUGGUUCGGAACAACACGGGGAAACCUGUGCUAAUACCGGAUAAGUCCUAACGGAGAAAGUUUUAAUGCCAAAAGAUGAGCCCGCAUUUGAUUAGCUAGUUGGUAAGGUAAAAGCUUACCAAGGCGACAAUCAAUAGCUGAUUUGAGAGGAUGAUCAGCCACACUGGGACUGAGAUACGGCCCAGACUCCUACGGGAGGCAGCAGUGGGGAAUCUUGCACAAUGGGCGAAAGCCUGAUGCAGCGAUGCCGCGUGAGUGAAGAAGGCCUUUGGGUUGUAAAGCUCUUUUGUCGGGAAAGAUAAUGACUGUACCCGAAGAAUAAGGUCCGGCUAACUUCGUGCCAGCAGCCGCGGUAAUACGAAGGGACCUAGCGUAGUUCGGAAUUACUGGGCGUAAAGAGUAUGUAGGCGGCUAGAUAAGUUAAUUGUGAAAGCCCAAAGCUUAACUUUGGAAUUGCAAUUAAAACUAUUUAGCUGGAGUAUGAUAGAGGAAAGCGGAAUACAUAGUGUAGAGGUGAAAUUCGUAGAUAUUAUGUAGAACACCAGUUGCGAAGGCGGCUUUCUGGAUCAUUACUGACGCUGAGAUACGAAAGUAUGGGUAGCGAAGAGGAUUAGAUACCCUCGUAGUCCAUACCAUAAACGAUGAUUAUUAGAUGUGGGGAAUUAUUUCUCUGUAUCAUAGCUAACGCGUUAAAUAAUCCGCCUGGGGAGUACGACCGCAAGGUUAAAACUCAAAUGAAUUGACGGGGACCCGCACAAGCGGUGGAGCAUGUGGUUUAAUUCGAAGCAAC
rnacentral:rRNA from 1 species